AGAGUUUGAUCAUGGCUCAGAGCGAACGCUGGCGGCAGGCUUAACACAUGCAAGUCGAGCGGAUGUAGCAAUACAUCAGCGGCAGACGGGUGAGUAACACGUGGGAACGUACCUUUUGGUUCGGAACAACACAGGGAAACUUGUGCUAACACCGGAUAAGCCCUUACGGGGAAAGAUUUAUCGCCGAAAGAUCGGCCCGCGUCUGAUUAGCUAGUUGGUGAGGUAACGGCUCACCAAGGCGACGAUCAGUAGCUGGUCUGAGAGGAUGAUCAGCCACAUUGGGACUGAGACACGGCCCAAACUCCUACGGGAGGCAGCAGUGGGGAAUAUUGGACAAUGGGCGCAAGCCUGAUCCAGCCAUGCCGCGUGAGUGAUGAAGGCCCUAGGGUUGUAAAGCUCUUUUGUGCGGGAAGAUAAUGACGGUACCGCAAGAAUAAGCCCCGGCUAACUUCGUGCCAGCAGCCGCGGUAAUACGAAGGGGGCUAGCGUUGCUCGGAAUCACUGGGCGUAAAGGGUGCGUAGGCGGGUCUUUAAGUCAGGGGUGAAAUCCUGGAGCUCAACUCCAGAACUGCCUUUGAUACUGAAGAUCUUGAGUUCGGGAGAGGUGAGUGGAACUGCGAGUGUAGAGGUGAAAUUCGUAGAUAUUCGCAAGAACACCAGUGGCGAAGGCGGCUCACUGGCCCGAUACUGACGCUGAGGCACGAAAGCGUGGGGAGCAAACAGGAUUAGAUACCCUAGUAGUCC
rnacentral:rRNA from 1 species